rnacentral:rRNA from 1 species
GACGAACGCUGGCGGCGUGCUUAACACACGCAAGUCGAACGGUGAAGCGCCUUCCUUUUUGGUGGGUGGGGAUGAGUGGCGAACGGGGGAAUAACACGAGAGUAACCUGCCCCGUUCUUCUGGAUAACCGCAAGAAAGUGUGACUAAUACAGGAUAUUCUGGAUCUGUCGCAUGAUGGGUCUGGGACAGAUUUUGUUUCGGUGGGGGAUGGGCUCGCGGCCUAUCAGCUUGUUGGUGGGGUGAUGGCCUACCAAGGCGGUGACGGGUAGCCGGCCUGAGAGGGUCGACGGCACCGCUGCUGCUGCGCCACCGCCCAUCCUCCGACGGGAGGCAGCAGUGGGGAAUAUUGCACAAUGGGCGGCAUCCUGAUGCAGCGCCGCCGCGGGAGUGAUGGAGGUCGUCGCGUUGUGCACUUCUUUCGCCAGUGAAGCAGGCCUGCCUCGUUUGUGGGUGGGUUGACGGUAGCUGGAUAAGAAGCGCCGGCUAACUACGUG